rnacentral:tRNA from 1 species
GUGGGUAUAGCUCAAAUGGUAGAGCCUCAGCCUUAAGAGCUAAAGCUAAGGUACAGUGCCCACG